AUUGAACGCUGGCGGCAGGCUUAACACAUGCAAGUCGAGCGGUAACAGAGAGAAGCUUGCUUCUCUGCUGACGAGCGGCGGACGGGUGAGUAAUGCCUAGGAAUCUGCCUAGUAGUGGGGGAUAACUUGCCGAAAGGUAAGCUAAUACCGCAUACGUCCUACGGGAGAAAGGAGGGGACCUUCGGGCCUUUCGCUAUUAGAUGAGCCUAGGUCGGAUUAGUUAGUUGGUGAGGUAAUGGCUCACCAAGACCGCGAUCCGUAACUGGUCUGAGAGGAUGAUCAGGCACACUGGAACGGAGACACGGUCCAGACUCCUACGGGAGGCAGCAGUGGGGAAUAUUGGACAAUGGGGGGAACCCUGAUUCAGCCAUGCCGCGUGUGUGAAGAAGGUCUUAGGAUUGUAAAGCACUUUAAGUUGGGAGGAAGAGCAGUUAACUAAUAUUUGACUGUUUUGACGUUACCGACAGAAUAAGCACCGGCUAACUUCGUGCCAGCCGCCGCCGUAA
rnacentral:rRNA from 1 species